AAGUCAGAACCAGCUAAGAAUGAAUACAGUUUAUACUUAAUGUGUCAGUUGGACUUAAAUUAUCUUUACCUUUCUGGUGUAUCUUACAAAAAUUAGUUUUUAGUGAUAAAAGAGACUUUUAAUUUAGUCCUAUUUUUACAAAUGAGGAAAUUGAUAUCCAUCAAGAUAACUCAAAUUUAAGUACUUUAUUUUCCCAGAUGUGAUGAAAUUUGAUAUUUUCUUUUUCCCUUCAUUUUUUUCUUUUCUUUUUUUUGAUUGGCACCUGAGCUAACAGCUGUUGCCAAUCUUUUUUUUCCCCCCCUGCUUUUUCCUCCCCAAAUCCCCCCAGUACAUAGUUGUAUAUUUUCGUUGUGGCAUGUGGGACGCCGCCUCAGCGCAGCCUGAUGAGCCGUGCUAUGUCCACGCCCAGGAUCCGAACCAGCGAAACCCUGGCGGAGUGCGAGAACUUAACCACUGAGCCCCAUCUUUUUCCCUUCAUUUUCAUAUGAAUCCAGCCACUUAAUCAAUGCUUGCUUUAAAAGUUGUUAGUUUUUGUUUUCAAUACUUCGUGUAUCCUGUCUCUCUCCUGGGUGAUCAUUAACACAGAGUAGGCACCUAAUUUUUGGUUCCCAUUCUUACUGCCCUCCCCAUUUUUUCCACCCCUGUACUCUAUAGACUUCCCUCUUGAUCAACAACUUUGCACUUUCUGUGGUUAACGUAACAGUGUAUACCCUGCUACAAAUACAUGUGUAUCAAAGUGUUCUAAAUUUGUUAUCCUUAACUUCUGGGGACAAGAAUGAGUUUUAUUUAUCAAACUUUGGUAUUAUAGAAGCCCUCAGCCGCUUUAAAGAUGACCAGGGAUUAGCAUAGUUAAACUGAGAAGGAAAUUAAGACUUCAGAGCACUUUUUUCAAAGAUGUUCUAGUUUGUGGUGAUAUGGGAAAAUAAUUGUAUAUUAACUAAAAAAUUGGGAUACAAACUAAAAACAGUAUGGUCUCAGCUUGUCAGAAACCCGGACACCAUCCUCACUCCUUUAAUACUCCAUGUCUAUUAUGUCCCUAAGUAAUGUCCAUUCAAACUUUAUUUCUUGGUCUGCUUCCCCUCAUUUUCAUCACCAUUGCCACCACUUUAGUUCUGGCCUGCCAUAGACUAGUCAGUCACUGUGAAUAUUUGCCAAAUUAAAUGAGUUUUAUAUGUAACUAGGUGGUGACCCCCUAGCGUACCCUGGCUUUAGUCUUGCCCCUUAUAAUCUAUCUGUCGUUCUUUAAAGUGAUUUUACUAAAAUGUGAGUCUGAUCUUACGCGAAAUCCUUUAAUGCUCCUUAGGGUAGCAUACAAGGCACUUUCUGUGAUCUGUCUCCAGCCUUUGUUCCAAGGAUCCAGUUGCUCCUUCUUUUGCUUCCACCCAUAUUAUUUCUGCCUUCAGUUCCCCAAACAUAAACAUUGUUCUCUCAGACCUCCUUUCUUUUGUAUAUACAUACUAUCUUCUCUCCAUGGAACACCCACUUCCUCCCCCUUGGGAAUGCAUCCUUCAGUUCAAGUGUUUCUCCUCUCUGAGCUUUCUCUGGUGUUCUUCCAGGAAGUCCGUUGUUUAUAAUUCCAUGUACCUUUUACCCAGCUCUAUUAUAGUGCUUAUUGCAGUUUGUUACGAUGAUUUAGAAUGUCCACGCCCUGCUAGAAUGUGAGCCC
rnacentral:lncRNA from 1 species